UCUCUCUCUCUCUGCCCCUUCCCGACUCGUGCUCGGUCUCUCUCUCCCUCAACAAUAAACAAAUAUUUAAAAAAAAAAAUUCUUUUUAAAGAAUAACUAAUUCCAGAUACAAAUCCACAGCCAGGUGUAUGAUUUGCAUGUAUUUUCUCCCAGCCUAUGGCUGUCUUUUCACUUUCUCGCUGGUGUAAUUUGAAGAACAAAAGUUUUAAAUUUUGGUAAAGUCCAAUUGAUAGAUUUUUAAUCACAUGCAAUUUGUGUCCUGUCUCAAAAACUCAUUGCCUGAUUCAGGGUCACAAAGAUUAACCCCCGUGUGUGGUGGAUGUUUUACGCUUCCAGUGCUCACACUUCGAUCUUAGGUUCAUGUUGAGUUAAUGUUUGUGUGCUCUGAGGAAGGGGUCCCGAUUCACCCUUUCGCACGUGGACAUCCACUUGCCUCGGCACCAUUUGUGGCAUCCUCUCCCCGUUGAAUUGUUGGGGCACCUCUUGAAAAUCGGGGGUCCGUUUGCAGCAAGAGGGAGUUUUUCCUGAAGUUGGAAGUCACUACCUUUAGCUCUUAAACGCCAGCUUUUUUUGGUACUCGGGAGGAGAGCAGGGCUUCCUCACCAGCGGAUGGAAGGGAGGGCUCUUCACGCAUCCUCCUUGUUGGCGAGUGAGCGGAUUUUGUCUUUAUAGCGGUGGGCCUUGGGCUGACUUCUUCACUGCGGAUGUGAGAAUUAUCUUGACUCCGAAGACUCCAUCUGUGCCACAUCGAGGUGGGGAGCCACUUAGCAAGCUGGAGCAGUACUCCCAGGGCGAGAAGUUAGUGUUCUCAGCAGCUGAUGGCUGGGGUGUGGAAGUGUCAUCAGUUGACAGGACCUGUUAAUGGACUGGUGAGUGGAGUGGAGCCCGGCCACGCCUCCAGGUCUCGGCCGGAAAGACUGGAAGGAUGAGCUGGCCUCAACCACGGCAGGAGAGAGCAUGGUUGCCCCGUUCGGGGAGGACAUGGGAGAAGAUCGGGGCGUGUGUGAAGUGUGUCACGUCCAAGAUGGCUCUCUGUCACAGGGAGGUGCCGGUGUGCGCCUGCUUCUCACUUUCUACAACGCCCAUUCCUUGCGCUCUUUCCCUUUAUCGUCCUCUAAAGUGUAAGAAGCUGCUUGGUACCUACGAGCUCUAGACACACAGCACUGGGUUUUCUUUGAGAGAUGGUGUAAUGCAUCGAAUUUUGGAAAAGUUUUUGAUAGAGCGGUAGUUUGCCAUCCCAUAGUAAGAUCUGUAUAAAGUGCUUGGUGGGGGGUCCUGGCUGGCUCAGUCUGAGGGCCUGCGACUCGAUCUCGAGGUCAUGAGUUCAAGCCCCAUACUGGGUAUAGAGAUUACUUAAAAAAUAAUAAAAUCUUUAAAAAAAAAAAAAAUAAAGUGCUCAGGGUGCUUUUUACUCGAAAUGAAGUAAGCCUUAAAAUAAACUAAUAAAUAAAUUUGUAAUAAACUAAAUAUGGUGCUUGUCAGUUAGAGAUAUUAAAUGAUUAUAAAAUUCCUAAACUAAGUGCCUUCUAAUUAUGAUCGGGAUUGUUUACAUCAGGCUUCAUUUUUGAGCAUGCAGCUCUGACUUUUAAUAUCUACUCGUAUAUUCAAGUUAAAAGAUGUUUCCACCAUUUGGUAUUGGCAUAGACACAGACGUACAGAUCAU